AGGUUACGCCGGAGCACAGGAGCGGGAGCCGGAGGCCCGAGGCCCGAGCUGCCAGGGCGGCGCACGCUCACCCGCGCGGACCGGGCCGCGUCCGUUCCCGCUCGGGCCGCUCCGGUCCAGGCGCAGGGCCGAGUUUCCGACCGAGUAGCCGGGAAGCUCCGCAAUCCCAGCCAGGGUUUGAGGGCCCCGCGCCUGCGCACGGCGGGAGGCGGAGCUUCAUCUGGCCACGCCCUCGUGGUGACGCGCUGCGGAGGGCGGUGCACAGGGUAGCGGGCAGAUGUGGGAAUCCUUUUGGAAGGCUCUAGCAUGGAGUAGGCUGGUGAGAAAGGAUUGCCAGGAAGGGCGGGGCCCGCCACGCUUAGAAAGUGGGAAGUUUGAGUGGGCCAGGAAAACCUCCUGUCAGCCACUGAGAAUAACUCGAGAAUCCGAGCAACUUGAUAUGGCGUAGUUAAUAUGCCAAAUAUUCAUAGCUGCAGCACUCCGCCCCGCGCUGUGUAAACCAAAACUAAAACCAACCUUCAAAGUCUCCCUAGUUCCAACGGGUGGCCUUCGCUUUGCCAACUUCUGGAACAGCCUGACAGGUCCCAGGACUUGCACUUCUGUUGGGGUGGGGAGGAAGUUGGACAGGAGAAGCAGGGAAAUAGAGGUGAGGUUUUGGGUGUUAUUUUUUUUGAAAGAUACAUUUCGACCCAAUAUUUGAUGCAUACAAAAUUAAUUUACCAGCUACGUUAAGUGUGAAAAUACUAAUAAAACAAAACUCUGACUUUAUGUUGGCAUUAGUAAAUUAAUAAACGCUAAAGCAUUUCUGUAUCGGAUUCUACUUGCUUCGUUAUGGUGUGUGGGUGUGUGUUCAGCUUGCCAUUUUUGGUAGAUACAUUUGGCUGACAAUGUUUUGUUUACCUUUUGAGCGUUAUAAAAAUAAUGCAUACCAUAUAUAUUUAUGUAUGUGUAGCCUUCCAGUAUUUGCUUUAAAAAAAAAAAGAUUUAUUUUAUUUAUAUGAGUACACUGUAGCAGUCUUCAGACACACCAGAAGAGGGCGUCAGAUCUCAUUACAGAUGGUUGUGAGACACCAUGUGGUUGCUGGGAUUUGGACUCAGGACCUCUAGAAGAGCAGUCAGUGCUCCUAACCGCUGAGCCACCUCUCCAGCCCCAGUAUUUCCUCUAUUAACUUUUUUUUCUAUGAUUCACUGAAAUGUACUAUAGAAAUUAACUUUACUGGUCAGAUAAAUGGGAUAUUGUUCCUGUCAAGACUGUACUUAGUUUCAUAACACAUGUGAAUAUGGGAUCACGUUACAUCCUUUGUCUAUAGGACAUACAGUAAAUGUGUGCAUUUUUCUGAGUUUGAGGGUUAUAAACUUGCACUCUUACCUGAGUUUGCUGACAUGUAAUUUGCCUAUUCCCAAUAUAAAUAAAUACUCACUUUUGAACUUAAUGUAUAUUCAUAACUUUAUUAUUUUUUCUUAUUUUGGUCUUCUAAGAAAGGGUCUCAUGUCUGGCGUUAGACUCAUUAUGUACCAGAGUAUGGCCCUGAACUUCUGAUCUUCCGCUUCCACCUUCCAAGUGCUGGAGUUAACUGGCAUGUGCCACAUGGCCAGAUUGUAUCUUUUUAUUUAAGUCUCUUCCAAUCAUAUAAACUCCUGCCCCUACAAAGCCAGGCCACACCCCUGGUAAUUGUAAACAAGGCCCCCAGAUCACUGUCGUUGCCUCCAAUAGAGAAUCCCCUUUGUCCCUCGGAGGUGCACUGUAAGGUCAGAGGAUUUAGAGGUGUUCAGCUUUGACUUUCUCUCUAAAAUUUUUUAAAAUUGUAUUUGUUACUUGCAGAUGAAGGUCAGAGCACAACGUUGGGAAGCCAGUUCUCUCUGCCUCGGUGAGGCAGCAUCUCUUGUUCCUGCUAUGUUGUGCAUUCCACAUAGAUCAGUGCCUCAUUCUGCCAUCAUCAGAGAAAGUUUUCUCCAGAGAGAGCGAGACAGAGACAGAGACUCAAUCUCCAUCAAACCCCUCUUCUCAGGGCUCAGAGAGCCAGGGAGAAGAGACAGAAAGAUUGUAAGAACCAGAGAUGACCCUAGGAAAACAGUGUCUUCCAGACACAACAGCACUGACACACAUAUAUGAACUCCUAGAAAUAGGAUGCUCAGGGCCUGAAUAGGUUCAAGACAGAUGGAGUCCUAGAACAGAGAAGCAAGAAGACAUGAGCUCCUAUUCCUAAGAAGCUGUCUCCAACUGAUACCUGCUUGCAAAGAAAAAAAUAACUUUCUCCACUGGAGUCUCACAGGGUGUACAAGCCAGCCACCCUUAACAGUAUGUCCCAUGCCCAGCAGUGGAUGACCAGAUCAAUGGUAUUUUUGUAGACAUUUUGUCUCAUAUUACCUUGUUUCUGCAUUUUAUGUCUAACUAGUCUUUUGCUUAUAUAUUACAGUUUCUAGUUUUGUGUUAUUAUAGGUUUUGGGUUUUGUGUGUCUGUGUUCCCUUUUUUCUCUCUUUUUUUAAAAAUUCUGGUUUGUUUGCCUAUUUGUUUCUGAAAAGAAAGAGAGAAAGAAAGGGAUAUGGUUGGUGGGUGGGGAGUUGGGAAGGAUCUGGGAGGAUCUGAGAGAGGGGAGACCAAGAUCACAGUAUAUGGUAUGAAAAAUUAUUUUCAAUAAAAAUAAUAAUUCUUAUUUU
ensembl:processed_transcript 9230116N13Rik RIKEN cDNA 9230116N13 gene